GUCUAUGACCAUGCUACCCUGAACAAGCCCGAUUCUGUCUGAUCUCAGAAACUAAGCAAGGGUGGGCCUGUUAGUACUUGGAUGGGAGACUACCUAGGAAUACCAGGUGCUUCAGGUG
rnacentral:rRNA from 1 species